CAGACGAUCCACUCCUGUCUAUAUCAAACGCUUUGCCCAAGCAAUAAGCGGCAAGCCAGAAUGUCUAGUACGACACUAGUUGGAAAUUAUGAUAAAAGUCAUUUCCGUUUAUAUUUGCCGAAUAGUUGUCCAUGUUUCCAAAAAGUGUUUGAAACUUUAGUACAGGAAACAGUUGAUAAUGCAAUGAUAUUGUGACUAAGCCGUGACUCAUACACUCAACGUAGUUUGUCCCUUGUGUUGUUAUUUGUGUUUCUUAGGAAUGUUGCUGAGGCUAACGAUCAUGUGGUUCGUGUGUGUGACAGCAAGAAUCCUUGAAACGACAAACUCGCCGUACCUAGAAGAGGUAUCCACAGUGACAAAGGAGAAAUGUGAUUUGGAGACAAAUAAUUUUUGCGGUGUCUUCAAUAACACGAAUCCUCAACACCAGUUUUAUAAUCAAGGAUGAUUUAAUAAAAUUUGUUUUUUUUU